GCACAUCCAGGGAGGGGAAACAGGACCCUCAAAUCUUUAUAUGGCCAGUCAGACAUCCUAGGGAGCCCACUUGCAGCCAGCACCUUAAGUAGCAGUCCUGUGCAGGAUUCAGCCCUUAAACCAUUGGAGGUCUGGUGCAGGUCUGCUCCAGGGAAUCCCGGGGAGGCUGUGAGCACGGACCAAAACACCGUGUUCACGAGCCCUGGAAUGGGAGCCAAAUGGCAAGCAUAGAGCGAUUGGACACAGGAGCUGCCAGGCCCAAGCAGGCCAGGCAAUGAGGACACCUCCUGUCAGCAGCCCAGGGCCCAGCGAGGGGCUGUCAUACUCUCCUUCCAUCUAUCCCGGCAAAGGGUCAUUGCUCAGGGCUCCUGGGAACUGGAGUUCAAGGUGAUGGCUGCUGGGGAGCUAGGCUGUGUCACUCAGCCUGGAUAGCUGAGGCUGAGGUUGCUAACACGGGAGGGGAGGGUGACCGGAGGAACAGCAGAUUCAUCAUGACAUCAUUGCCUGAGAGCAUCAAGUUCACCUUCACUGCGUGCUCAGGAGUGGCAGAACCGUCUUUUUUUCAGAUGGGGAGAUGAAGAUGCAAGACGGGAGAGGCCUGGGGCCCAAGGUCAUCUGCAGAGACAAGCCCCAGGCGCUAGAUGAAGUGAAAGCAGGCUACAGCCGACUUGGAUUAAGGACAGGACAAUGUACACCGACCCCCAUUUCCACCCUCCACCUCCAGUUUUCCUUCUGGAACAGCUUUCAGUAUCCGUCUGUCUGUCUUCUGGUCUUCUCUACUGCUUGGACAACACAGAGCUGGCC
rnacentral:lncRNA from 1 species